GCAGAGAGCGUCUCACCCCCGGAGGAGCCGGAGCUGGCUGUCUGUCUGCCCGUGUGCGUGUGUCUGUCUGCAAGGGACCGAGGGAGGCGCUGACUUCAGGCCGAGCAGGAGCGUCGCUGAGUCGGUGUGAGGACGGUAGAUGUCGCGCCAAGGAGCGGAGGACAUCCACGGAGAGAGAGGCUUUCAGUGGGAUUUACUGAACGGCUGCAGGACACAUUUACUCAAAGGAGCCUGAGGGCGAUGUGGAGGCUCAGAUCAGCUCAGACACACUGAUUCAAACUCCGGUUAGAGAGCUGAGCAUCGGCUGUGGAGCGUCAGCAGCAGCAGCCCCUUCCCUGUGAGAGAGACCAAACCAUUCAACAACGUCGAAAGUUGCUUACUUCAAGAGGAAAUAUGCGGAAGAGGAGGAUUUACACGGAGGCCUACGUGGAUAUUUUCAAAAACACCUGAUACUGCAGGAGGACCGGAGCUGCAUCCUGAAGCUGUCCCUGGAGAAGCUGAGGUUCCUGGAGGACCCCGAGGCCUACCUGCGGCGCUCCGUCCUCAUCAACAACCUGCUGCGGAAGAUCCACCAUGAGGAAGAGGAGCUGGAGGCCGAAGAAGAG